rnacentral:lncRNA from 1 species
GUCCACAAAAGUCCACCAGAACCUAUACACUAAAGUUAAACAGGUUGACUGCAAGCUAAAGUAGAAGCUCCUUGUGUAAUACCUACCCUUUGAGUAUGGGUUGGUUUUAGUUAUUUGCUUCCAGAGAAUAGAAAUUUCUUCCAUGAUUCAGUGCAUAAUAUUUUGACUUGUCUUUCUUGCUAGUAGACUUUCAUGCUCUCACUCUCUCUCUCUCCCUCUCUCUCUGUCUCUCUCACUGGCAGAAGAAAUCUUAAAAGUUUGAGAAGAAAAUAUGGUAAAUAACUAAGAGAAAUCUCUGGUCAAUACUCAACAAGUCCUUCAGUCCAACAAUAUUCCAUACAUGAAAUCCUGCCAAAAACCAGGCUGCCUGUUUGAGCUGAGAUGUUGGUCUUCUCCUUCCCUUGGACUGGAAUUUACACCAUCAUCUUCCCUGUUUCUUUGGCCUUUGGUCUCAUACUUGAAUUACCACCAGUUUUUCUGG